ACAGCAAGAAGCAGUCUUAUUCCUUGUAGCCUUCCCAAGGAGCACGCGCAAGCCUCCACCCCCAAACCCGGAAGAAGCUGAUGCCUGUACUCUGCAGGGAUCCCACACUCAGCAAAGGUGAGGCGCUCAUCAGGCUGCAGCAGGGUAUGCCAGGACAAAGGAGGGGCUGGAGUUGGAGUCCAAAACCAGGAGGUCCUGGUAAGGAACAGGGAACUAAUGAG